rnacentral:lncRNA from 1 species
UUUGUCGUGUUUAUUUAUUGUUCUCUAUUCUUGUCUAUCUGACUUUUUAUUCCCUAAUUCUCAUAUUUUAACACUCCAUUUUUCUCUUUCAUUUGUUUCUGUACUUUUUUGCAAUAAGUUCUUUGUCGUUUAUUUUUGUCCAUUAUUCUAUAUUAUGUAGACUGACUUUAUCCUGACCGUCCUAAAUACGAGUUCGCUGUCGCUAAACCUUAAUGAUAACUAUAACAAUCAUGUGUUUUAGCUUGGAUUACGUGGUUAUUAUUCAGCAAUUAUAGCAUACUUAAUAACCUAG